rnacentral:lncRNA from 1 species
AGAAGUAGUGAAUAUGAUGAAGGUGGCUGCAUGGUGUCUGGAAAGUGAUUUUGCAAAGAGACCUUCCAUGUCAAUGGUAGUUAAGGUUUUGGAGGGCGUUACAGAGUUUGAUCAUAACCUCCAUUAUAACUCCGUUCACCUGCCAUCUACAGCAGCACUAGCAAACGUUGAUCAUAGGGAAGAAAAUGACAAAUCCACUACUCAAUUGUUGCCUUCAAUUUUGUCGGGGCCAAGGUGACAGACGAUUAGCAAGUAUAUAUACCACAUAUCCAUUCAUUAUUAGCAUUAAUAAUGCUUUACCAUCAACUUUUGUUUUUAGAUUUGAAAAAGAAAACUAAUUGGGCUUUACCGACAACUCUCAGCAUCUUUCUUAAAAAAUUGGCGCCAAAUUUUUGUAGGGUUAUUUGUGGAUACAAUCUGGAAUGAAAGAAACUUCAAAUCUUUGAUAAGAAUGUAAAUCUCAUAAUUGAUUUAUUAUGCAAAUUUUAAAUUCGCGGAUCAAAUAACUGCAAGCAACCAUCUAAGGUACGUAUGUGCAAAUUCAGAAAUCCGUGGCAAGUAUCAGUAGUAAUCUCCCUUAUCAUGCGAAGCUUCGCAAGAUCAUAGUUUUGUUGAACUCAAUGAUGUCGCUUACUUCACGUUUAGCUCACCUAGCUCAGACCUUACGAAUACAGAUCCAGAGACAUGCAAACAAGCCUGUUUAAAGAAUUGCUCGUGCAAAGCUGCUCUUUUUCUGUAUGGUUUGAACCCUUCUCGUGGAGAUUGCUACUUACCAUCUGAACUCUUUUCAAUGAUGAAUAAUGAGAAGGAAAAGACUCAUUAUAACUCAACUGUUUACAUUAAGGUUCAAAACUUUUCAAUGCCAGGUGCAAGUCCAGGAGGAAAGGAGACGAGCCACAGAAAAAGAAUAAUGGGGUUCAUCCUUGGAUCUUUCUUUGGUUUAUUAGUUCUAAUUGGUAUCUUGAUCUUUUUCUUUGGGAAGAAAAAGGGGGCUGAUGAAAUUGAGGAAGAUUGUUUAGAUCAAGUGCCAGGACUACCCAAAAGAUUCUCAUUUGAAGAGUUGAAAGUCAUGACAGACAAUUUCAGAAAGAUACUGGGUAAGGGGGGUUUUGGCUCAGUCUUUGAGGGGACACAAACUGAUGGCACAAAAGUUGCAGUGAAACGUCUCGAAGGAAUUGGUGAAAUCAAUAAAUCUUUCUUAGCAGAGGUGAAGACAAUUGGAAGCAUUCACCAUCUGAACUUGUUGAGGUUGAUAGGGUUUUGUGCUGAGAAAUCUCAAAACCUUCUUGUUUAUGAAUACAUGCCGAAUGGAUCUCUAGAUAGGUGGCUUUUCCAGAGAUCAGAUGAGUUUAUGCUUGACUGGCAGCAAAGAAAGAAGAUCAUCCUUGAUAUUGCCAAGGGACUAACCUAUCUCCAUGAAGAUUGCAGGCAGAAGAUACUCCACUUGGAUAUCAAGCCCCAAAAUAUUCUGCUAGAUGACAACUUUAAUGCCAAAGUUGCUGAUUUUGGUUUGUCGAAAUUGAUUGACCGGGACCAGAGCCAAGUUGUGACAACCAUGAAAGGAACUCCAGGCUAUUUGGCUCCUGAAUGGCUUAGCUCAGUAAUUACAGAAAAAGUAGAUAUCUACAGCUUUGGAGUUGUGAUGUUGGAGAUAUUGUGUGGCCGGAAAGUUUUUGACCGCUCUCAGCCUGAGGAGGAAGACAUGUAUUUGCUGAGCAUAUUCAAGAAGAAGGCAGAGGAGGACAAAUUGUCUGAUCUGGUGGAUAAACACAGUAACGAUAUGCAAUCAAAUGGAGAAGAAGUAGUGAAUAUGAUGAAGGUGGCUGCAUGGUGUCUGGAAAGUGAUUUUGCAAAGAGACCUUCCAUGUCAAUGGUAGUUAAGGUUUUGGAGGGCGUUACAGAGUUUGAUCAUAACCUCCAUUAUAACUCCGUUCACCUGCCAUCUACAGCAGCACUAGCAAACGUUGAUCAUAGGGAAGAAAAUGACAAAUCCACUACUCAAUUGUUGCCUUCAAUUUUGUCGGGGCCAAGGUGACAGACGAUUAGCAAGUAUAUAUACCACAUAUCCAUUCAUUAUUAGCAUUAAUAAUGCUUUACCAUCAACUUUUGUUUUUAGAUUUGAAAAAGAAAACUAAUUGGGCUUUACCGACAACUCUCAGCAUCUUUCUUAAAAAAUUGGCGCCAAAUUUUUGUAGGGUUAUUUGUGGAUACAAUCUGGAAUGAAAGAAACUUCAAAUCUUUGAUAAGAAUGUAAAUCUCAUAAUUGAUUUAUUAUGCAAAUUUUAAAUUCGCGGAUCAAAUAACUGCAAGC